UAUCUUGAAGCAGGUGGGGAUAGUGGACAUCUUGAAGCAGGUGUGGAUAGUGGACAUCUUGAAACAGGUGGGGAUAGCGGACAUCUUGAAGCAGGUGGGGAUAGCGGACAUCUUGAAGCAGGUGGGGAUAGCGGACAUCUUGAAGCAGGUGGGGAUAGCGGACAUCUUGAAGCAGGUGGGGAUAGCGGACAUCUUGAAGCAGGUGGCGAUAGUGGACACCUUGAAGCAGGUUGUGAUAGUGGAGAUUAAAAAAUGUCAGAAAACAUGACAGCCAGUUGUUCUGCACAUGCUACAAAGGGGCUUUUUGGCCGGCAGCCUUGCGAGGGUUAACAUGCUUGUAUGACGGACAUACGUCCUCCUUGGAGACCGUAACAUAGCCCACAUUGUCCUCAGGGUCUCUCUUCGGCAGCUCAGAGUCAUCGUUGUGCUCGAAGCGUGAGAAAAAGGUGUGAAAUUAUUAACAGUGGUGAGAUUUUUCAGGAGGGGAAUGAUGGAGGGGCUGUACAGCUGGAGAGGAGGGGUUGGAUGUACGGUUGGAAUGGGGACUGAGGGGGACUGUCUGUACAGCUGGAUGGUCACAUACAUAUGGUAUAGAAUACAGUAUACAUCUGGGAUGAUGUAUAUGAGAACUUGUUCUCAACUGGCCUACCUGGUUAAAUAAAGGUGUUCUCAACUAGCCUACCUGGUUAAAUAAAAGGUGUUCUCAACUGGCCUACCUGGUUAAAUAAAGGUGUUCUAAACUAGCCUACCU
ensembl:lncRNA